UCCGGAUAAGGGAGUAGUGACAGACUCGCUGGCACAAGGGGGUGGUUGUGAGGAUUAAGGAAGAGGAUGUGGACAGAGUUCCUGGCUUGGUACCUGGCACUUUCCAGGACUGGAUAACGUGGACCUGACUGCUGUUGACACAGACAUACCAGUGGAACCCAGAGGUCAGCCCAGCACCCUCUCGCCCCUCUGGGUAAACUUGGCUUCAUCUCCCAGAGCGGAUAGGAAGACGGAACUGUGCAAACUCAGAGCCCACUCAAGAUUCCAGCAUGUUCCAGGGCAUCCCUGCUGAUCUUGACCACUCACGCCACUUAUGAAGGUUUGUCAAGUGUUGCAAUGAGCCCGCAGAUCCCUGCAUAAAGAGACCUCAUGAACACCAAUGAAGUCACACUUACCGCACCCAGAGUCCCUGCCUGCCAGCACCAGGGCCGUCCCUCCCAGGGUGAGUUCCCACUGAAUAUAUUCCAGGCACCAUCAGCUUGUGCUCCCAGGCAGGGGCCAGUUGGACACCCCACGUAACCACUAACCCAGCUGAGCAAGAGAGGGGAGAGACAUUCCGGGUCUUGGAGUAAGCUUGUGGCAGGCACUUUCUCGCUCGCUGGGGAGACCUGGAACUGGGGUUCUGACCAGGUUGCAACUGGACCCCUCCCCUAGUCUUUUGUCCUCUCUGUGAAUCAGUCAGAUGGUGGGUCAUGCAGUAACAAUUCCCAAAUCUCUUUUUCUGACACUACAAAUGUUUAUUUCUUGCUCCUGAAAAUCCACCGUGGUCCCAGGGAAGGGACUCUGUACGAUACAGCCUCCUUUGAUCUCGUGUUUUCCCAUCAGCGUGAGGGCCCCUCCCUGAUUGCUGUGGCAGAGGAAAAGAGAAGCCAGGGAACCGCACUGGGAUCACAGUGGCCUGAAACUGCCAGGCGGCACUCCCACCCAUGCUGCGUACGCCAGAAAUAGUUACGGGGUCCUGACACCAGCCAGAGAGCUGGGGAGUUUCCUGUAUACCAAGGAGGAAAGGGCAUCUGGACAUUCGUAAUGUCUAUUAUACGCUUUCCAGGGACCCAAACAUUGUGGAUCUUUCCAUUUCCCCUCCAUUCUUAAAGAUACUCUUUGGGGGGGUGGGGUGCCUGGGUGGCUCAGUCGGUUAAGUAUCCACCUUUGGCUCAGGUCAUGAUCCCAGGGUCCUGGGAUGGAGCCCAGUGUCCCUGUCCCUCUCCCCCACCCAUGUACACACUCUCUAAUAAAUAAGUAAAAUCUUAAAAAGAAAAAGAUAUUCAUUUGGGGACAUGCAUUAGUCAGCCCCUGAUGCG